GGGCGGUGGCGAGUCCCGCCCCCCUCAGCCCGGCGCCAUCUUGGCGCUGCAGCAGAGGUCCCGCGUCCCGACGCGGGCGGGCAUCGCCCCCUCGCUGUCCCGCUGCGAGACGGGCUCGGGGCGUCAGGAGAGGCGAGAAGAGCUGCCGUGUUUAGCCUAGGGAAGGGAAGGCUGACAGGCGAUCUCGUUUAUACAUGUCCUGUGAGGAGCGGCUGAGGGGGUGUCUCAGCCUGGCGAAAGGGAGGCUCAGGGGGACCUUAGUGCUGUCUACAACUGCAGGAGGGCGGAGCCUGGGAACAGAAAUAGAGUAUGGUGUGCAGAGAUCCUCCACGAGAGGCAGGAGGUGAAGCCAGGACAUCCUCCGUGCUCCCAGGCUUUGUGAGGGACUGGCACAGCGCAGCCAGCAAGGCAGAGGACUCCUUAACAGACAUUUCACAGCAACGAGGACAAGACUGUUGAUGUCAAGUGCUCUGUUGAUAACAUUUUGGAGAGAACACAUCACUUGAGCUUUUCUAAAACACCAUGAGGACUGUGACUGUGUGUACUGGUAACUUGCUGAGGCAGGUACUCAAAUAUUGAAAGGCCAGAAAACACACAGUCUCUCAGUCUGGAAAUCUUUCACUGUUGUACCUUGUGUAACUGGAUAAUAACGACUAAAAAAUCCUAUAGACUUACAGUGAAAAGGAAGCAAAUCAGUGUUGACAACAGUGUGCAAAAUCUGUUUUACCUCUCCCAAGAUGCAGUGUGUGGAAGUUGUGUCACAGUAAUCCUCACCGGCAACUGUAGUUUGCAUUUACUGCAUCUGAUUUGGAACCCUACGUUGGAAGCCAAAUUUCACGAGAAGGGAAAUCUUCCUCCAAGUCCCUCUCACACUGAAUUUGUUAUACAGAAGAGAAAGCAGAACUGCUGUGCACAAAGCCGAGUGUCUGGCUGAGCUAACAAACCCAGAGCUGCCCUGACUCCAUCAGUGUCAGCCACGUCCUGAUCCCAAGGUGAAAAGACAUGGCAGCAGAAGAUUGAAAUUCUUCUACAAGGAAUUUUUUGUGCCCUUGGGUGGGUCCUAUCUGAAAUACUAACUGAGGUACAGUCCUGGCUAGAGGCUGCAUCCCAUCUUGCUUGUUGUUCUACAGAGGAAUGAAGAAUACAUGCUUAGGCAGCGAUGCAAUUCAGUGCAUUAUCAAGUAAUGAUUUAUGGUUAAGACUUGAAGCUAAAUUCUAGCAAACAUUAAUAUUUUCAAUGCUGAAAUGGGAAAUGUCACAAUAUGAGAAAGCCAGUGUGCUAGAGAAGCACAUUAAUGAGAAGAUGAAAAGCCUUUGAAGAUCUGAGGGACAGUACCAGUGCAGAGUGAUAAGAUGAAAUUUUAAAUGAUGUUUGAGUGAA